CCUACGGGAGGCUGCAGUGAGGAAUAUUGGUCAAUGGACGGAAGUCUGAACCAGCCAUGCCGCGUGAAGGAUGACGGCCCUAUGGGUUGUAAACUUCUUUUAUAUGGGAAUAAAAUGUUCCACGUGUGGGCUUUUGUAUGUACCAUAUGAAUAAGGAUCGGCUAACUCCGUGCCAGCAGCCGCGGUAAUACGGAGGAUGCGAGCGUUAUCCGGAUUUAUUGGGUUUAAAGGGAGCGUAGGCGGAGUGUUAAGUCAGUUGUGAAAGUUUGGGGCUCAACCGUGCAAUUGCAUUUGAAACUGGCAGUCUUGAGUACAGUAGAGGUGGGCGGAAUGCGUGGUGUAGCGGUGAAAUGCUUAGAUAUCACGAAGAACACCGAUUGCGAAGGCAGCUCACUGGACAGCAACUGACGCUGAUGCACGAAAGCGUGGGUAGCAAACAGGAUUAGAUACCCUUGUAGUC
rnacentral:rRNA from 1 species